AGAGUUUGAUCAUGGCUCAGAACGUACGCUGGCGGCACGCCUAACACAUGCAAGUCGAACGAAGUAGCAAUACUUAGUGGCAGACGGGUGAGUAACAUGUAGGUAUCUACCCUUUGGCCUGGAAUAACACGAGGAAACUUGUGCUAAUACCGGAUAAGUCUUUACGGAGAAAGCUUUAUGCACCAUUGGAUGAGCCUGCACUUGAUUAGUUUGUUGGUGGGGUAAUGGCCUACCAAGACUGUGAUCAAUAGCUGAUUUGAGAGGAUGAUCAGCCACAUUGGGACUGAGACACGGCCCAAACUCCUACGGGAGGCAGCAGUGGGGAAUCUUGCACAAUGGAGGAAACUCUGAUGCAGCGAUGCCGCGUGAGUGAAGAAGGCCCUUGGGUUGUAAAGCUCUUUCGUCGGGGAAGAAAAUGACUGUACCCGAAUAAGAAGGUCCGGCUAACUUCGUGCCAGCAGCCGCGGUAAUACGAAGGGACCUAGCGUAGUUCGGAAUUACUGGGCUUAAAGAGUUCGUAGGUGGUUGAAAAAGUUAGUGGGUGAAAUCCCAGAGCUUAACUCUGGAACUGCCAUUAAAACUUUUCAGCUAGAGUAUGAUAGAGGAAAGCAGAAUUUCUAGUGUAGAGGUGAAAUUCGUAGAUAUUAGAAAGAAUACCAAUUGCGAAGGCAGCUUUCUGGAUCAUUACUGACACUGAGGAACGAAAGCAUGGGUAGCGAAGAGGAUUAGAUACCCUCGUAGUCCAUGCCGUAAACGAUGUGUGUUAGACGUUGGAAAUUUAUUUUCAGUGUCGCAGCGAAAGCGAUAAACACACCGCCUGGGGAGUACGACCGCAAGGUUAAAACUCAAAUGAAUUGACGGGGACCCGCACAAGUAGUGGAGCAUGUGGUUUAAUUCGAAGAUACGCGCAGAACCUUACCAACACUUGACAUGUUCGUCGCGACUCUAAGAGAUUAGAGUUUUCGGUUCGGCCGGACGAAACACAGGUGCUGCAUGGCUGUCGUCAGCUCGUGUCGUGAGAUGUUGGGUUAAGUCCCGCAACGAGCGCAACCCUCACUUUUAGUUGCCAUCAUUAAGUUGGGCACUCUGAAAGAACUGCCAGUGAUAAGCUGGAGGAAGGUGGGGAUGACGUCAAGUCCUCAUGGCCCUUACGUGUUGGGCUACACACGUGCUACAAUGGUAUCUACAACAGGAAGCAAGACUGCGAGGUCAAGCAAAUCCUUAAAAGAUACCUCAGUUCGGAUUGCACUCUGCAACUCGAGUGCAUGAAGCUGGAAUUACUAGUAAUCGUGGAUCAGCGUGCCACGGUGAAUGCGUUCCCGGGUCUUGUACACACCGCCCGUCACACCAUGGGAGUUGGUUCUACCUUAAGGCAAGGUUUAAAACCCUUGACCACGGUAUAGUCAGCGACUGGGGUGAAGUCGUAACAAGGUAGCCGUA
rnacentral:rRNA from 1 species